rnacentral:tRNA from 1 species
GAGGGCAUAGCUCAGUGGUAGAGUGCAUGCUUAGCAUGCACGAAGUCCUGGGUUCAAGCCUCAGUACCUCCC